rnacentral:rRNA from 1 species
UACAGAGGUCCCGAGCGUUGUUCGGAUUCACUGGGCGUAAAGGGUGCGUAGGUGGCUGGGAAAGUUUGAUGUGAAAGCUCAGGGCUUAACCCUGAAAUGGCAUUGAAUACUACUUAGCUUGAGGUUUGGAGGGGGGACUGGAAUUCUAUGUGUAGCGGUAAAAUGCUCAAAUAUAUAGAGGAACACCAAUCGGCGAAGGCAGUUAACUAUUCGGCUCCUGACGUUGAGGCACGAAAGCGUGGGGAGCAAGACGG